rnacentral:rRNA from 1 species
UGCCAGCCUCCGCGGUACUACUAAUUGGGCUAGCGUUGUUCGGAAUUACUGGGCGUAAAGCGUACGUAGGCGGACUAUUAAGUUAGGGGUGAAAUCCCAGGGCUCAACCCCGGAACUGCCUCUAAUACUGCUAGUCUUGAGUUCGAGAGAGGUGAGUGGAAUUCCGAGUGUAGAGGUGAAAUUCGUAGAUAUUCGGAGGAACACCAGUGGCGAAGGCGGCUCACUGGCUCGAUACUGACGCUGAGGUGCGAAAGCGUGGGGAGCAAACAGGAUUAGAUA